GCUGGGUGUGGUGGCUCAUACCUGUAAUCCCAGCACUUUGGGAGGCUGAGACAAGAGGAUCACUUGAGGUCAGGAGUUCAAGACCAGCCUGGCCAACAUGGUGAAACCUUGUCUCUA
ensembl:misc_RNA Metazoa_SRP Metazoan signal recognition particle RNA